CUUCAAUCACCACACGGGGGCGCUGCAGCAUUAGCAGCCCUUCCGCCUGCAAUGCACACAAAUGCUAGGGAAGGAGGCAACGGGUAGGCCAAGUGGCAUGCAGUGACAGAGUCCAGACAACAGGAAAGAAUAGAGUAACCCCCCAGGAGAGUGGGGACGUUAACAUCUGGGCUGGAGAGRUGUGACGUUUGCUUCAGAAUAAACCUCUGCUCACCAUGAAACAAGUGAUUGUGUUUGCUGACUGCCUGCCGAAACGCAUCACUGGCAAGAGGAAAGCUGGACACCUUCUCACUUCAUCCGAAAGAACAAAGCCCCUCAGUGCUUUUCCUCCUUUUAACAGAUUUUUUCAGCCCUCCRGCUCAACAAACCACCAAAGGAUCUUCUGUCAGACACAAAUUAAUCCAUUGGAAGAAAUUCCUAGUUAACUUGCAAUAAUCCUGAAGUCGGUGUGCUGCAAGAAAAGGAAUGUAAAUACAAGCUUAAACCACAUUAGAGAAUAAAAACAUGAAAAUAACAUACAGCUCGUUUAGACAUAUGCAUAUAUUAAAUCUAUACAUAUUCAUGAUUUAUUUUCAAACCAAGCAAAUGCCCUUUGCUCAAUUGUCGUCCUUAGCAAAGAUAUGUAAAUAAAUACUCAAAUAAUCUAGGACUAACUAUCCAGAUAAAGUUUGCCAAAAUCUGUAUGUUUAAGUCAGAUGAGAUGGCAAUUAGAUGGUUUUAGCUUAAUUUCUUUUUUCAAAAUCAGUUUAAUAUUAAACAUGGGAUUAUAUUCAUGCCCGCUGUUGAGUUAAGUGGAGAAACUGAUGCUGAGUCUGUUUCUGGAAAUCUUGAAUUUCUGGAUCAUUUUCUCUGAAAUACCAGGGUAUUUUAGUGGAACAUUUGCAGAGUUUUGCCAAAAAUCUGAAAACGGUUCAUCAUUGGUUUUGUAGCAGAAUAAAAUCAAAAUCCAAAAUGUAGCGCCAAAUUAACACAUAAAUGGUUCAGCAGACACCAAAUGAACCUCUUUUCAUAGYUUUAGUCACCAGACAAAUAAAACAAAAGUCUAUUUACAUGU